CAAUAGCGUAUAUUAAAGUUGUUGCGGUUAAAAAGCUCGUAGUUGGAUUUCUGCCGAGGACGACCGGUCCGCCCUCUGGGUGAGCAUCUGGCUCGGCCUGGGCAUCUUCUUGGAGAACGUAUCUGCACUUGACUGUGUGGUGCGGUAUUCAGGACUUUUACUUUGAGGAAAUUAGAGUGUUUCAAGCAGGCACACGCCUUGAAUACAUUAGCAUGGAAUAAUAAGAUAGGACCUCGGUUCUAUUUUGUUGGUUUCUAGAUCUGAGGUAAUGAUUAAUAGGGAUAGUUGGGGGCAUUCGUAUUUAACUGCCAGAGGUGAAAUUCUUGGAUUUGUUAAAGACGGACUACUGCGAAAGCAUUUGCCAAGGAUGUUUUCAUUGA
rnacentral:rRNA from 1 species